AUUGAACGCUGGCGGCAGGCCUAACACAUGCAAGUCGAGCGGAGCGGCGGACGGGUGCGUAAUGCCUAUGAAUCUGACUGGUCGUGGGGGAUAACGUCCAGAAACGGGCGCUAAUAACGCAUACUAUCACAUGAGCAUAGGCCGGAUUAGCUAGAAGGUGGGGGAAGGGACAACCUAGGCGACGAUCCCUAGCUGGUCUGGGAGGAUGACCAGCCACACUGGAACUGAGACACGGUCCAGACUCCUACGGGAGGCAGCAGUGGGGAAUAUUGCACAAUGGGCGCAAGCCUGAGGCAGCCAUGCCGCGUGUGUGAAGAAGGCCUUCGGGUUGUAAAGUACUUUCAGCGGGGAGGCGUUACCCGCAGAAGAAGCACCGGCUAACUCCGUGCCAGCAGCCGCGGUAAUUC
rnacentral:rRNA from 1 species